rnacentral:rRNA from 1 species
UACGGGGGGGGGCAAGCGUUGUUCGGAAUUACUGGGCGUAAAGGGCCAGUAGGCGGCCAACUAAGUCGGACGUGAAAUCCCCAGGCUCAACCUGGGAACUGCGUCUGAUACUGGAUGGCUUGAAUCCGGGAGAGGGAUGCAGAAUUCCAGGUGUAGCGGUGAAAUGCGUAGAUAUCUGGAGGAAUACCGGUGGCGAAGGCAGGUCUCUGGGCCACUACUGACGCUGAGAAGCGAAAAGCAUGGGGAGCGAACAGG